rnacentral:tRNA from 1 species
UCCUUGAUGGCUCAGAUGGUAAAGCAUCUGCCUGCAAUGCGGGAGACCUGGGUUCGAUCCCAGGGUUGGGAA